rnacentral:lncRNA from 1 species
CUCAAAUAAUGUUGCUUGACUGGACAUAUAUGCUCCAAAAAUAUUCAUCCUGCCAUAAUUAGUACUUAACUAGGAUCAUUGGGUUUAAUAUCAUUAUUUUAUUGCAUAUUAUUAGCUAGUAUUUGGUUGAUGUUUCGAUCGAUAUAGAAAAAACAAAAAUAAUAAGAAGAGAUGAAAUUCAUCUCCAUGUAUUUUUUUUAUUUUGAAAAUAUAUAAAUUCAUUUUAAAAUUAUCUUAGAGAAUUUAUUUUAUAUUUUAAUUUCUUGUCUUUCCAACCAAAUAUAUUUUUAUUAUUUCUAUAUUUGUUUUGGCAGCUAUAAAACACUAACUAAAUACAAUCUUUGUCUUUGUGAGAUGAGGAGCAAUCAAAAUGUAUAGUUUUUCUAAAUAUUGACAUUAUAGAUAUCUCACAGAGUACUUGAUUUUAAUUUUCCAUCAUUUUCCAACUUGAGAUUUUCUUGCGUGUUACAGCUAAUAUAAAAUCCAGUAGCUCCAGUUUGCCAAGCUUCAAGAAAGAAUUCAAAUGAAAACAAAGGGAAUGGCUCAAAUAUCAACGAAAAGGACCACAUUGGAUGAUCAGUCACCUUCAUGCCCCAGAAGCACAGCUAUUUGGAUGUGGCAACACAAGAUGUGAAAUAUGAGACUUGAGUCCACAUCUGAAAAAACAUGUUGAGUCUCCACCCACCACUCUAGUCAGUUCAUUGAAUGGCAUAAAGCACAGAAGAAACAGGAGAAAAUUUGGACUCUAUGAGAGAGAGAGAGAGAAAACGAGGGCUAAACUUUAUUUUAAUUUAUCAUAAAUAAAAGCUAUUCCAUAAAUUUGCUUUUUAAUGGAUAUGUUCCGAUCGCAAAAGGGAGAAAAACUAUUCAGCAGAGGUCUAAUGUUUAUAAUUUGCUUUAAUGCUAUUUUUUUUAUUACAAACAUUGAAUUGAAUAUAUGUAUAUAUUCAAUUCAAUUAUUAUAAUUUUAACAAUAGUACACUUGUAACCUCUCAAAAAAAAAAAGUUCUUUCAAACUUUCUGAAAGAGAAGUUUCAUGGCACUUAUGGGCCACUGUUGGAUCUGGAUAUAUGUAAUUAAAGGCUCUCUAACCUGUUAAGUCAUUGGGUGUAGAAUUUUCUUUCCCCUUCACGUGGAAUUCUGAAACCUAUGCUGUGCACAUUUAUUUUGUUGCUAAUUUGUGCCUAUAAUUGAAUAUUCUUUCUUUCUUUCUUUCUUUAUCAUAAGUACCACAUGAUUUGCCUACCAUUUGGUGACAUGCUAGAUCCAUUUAGAAGUUAAAGGAGCAGAUUGUUUGGUUAAUUUCAUUGACCACCUCCCACAUGUAUAAUGAAUGUAUCGUCCCUUUAUCACAAGGAAAUCUGUGCCCGAAAAGGGCACUUACCCUACACAUUUUGGCUAAUCAAUUGCUUCCUCGAUAGGCUUGAGCAAACCAUGUUCUCCCUUUCUUUUUCUUUUUUGUUUUUAGGUAAAUUGGAGGGCCAAAUCUUGGAAGAGGGAUGGCAGGGUUUUGAACCUGAAAUGUAAACAUGUAAUGGAAGUAUUACUUCUUAGUGGGCUUUUCUUCUGUUUUCAAUUGUAUAAAUUAUUGGAAUACUUGGUUGCCCAUAUAGCACAUGACCAUGGCAAGGUUAGGUCACUGCAACUACCAUUUGUAAUUUACCAACAAAAAAAAACAAAUACCAUUUAUAAUCUGUAUCAUAUACAACUUGGACAAGUGAAAUGGAAGAAAUUUGUCAAUAUUGAACUCAUGAACGGAUUUAUGAUCACAGCCCCAUGUGACAAUCUCUCUUCCUUUGUCAUUCACUAUAAUAUAUAAGCCUAGCUAGGGAACAAGGCCUGUUAAGCCAGGCAUUUUAGUUGAGAAGUGAUGGAUUCCCACAAACAGCAAAGGAAAAAUAGAAGGGUUAAUUGCUUUAACAUAGAGGAAAAGAAGAAAGCAUUGCAUGGCAUGCAAGUUGUAAUAAAGAUCAAGAAACUUCCUGUAAAACUUCAUGUAAGAUAAUUAAUCUACUGUACAUUCCAAAAUGUGUGUUUUCAGAAGGUCAUGUAAUGGCCAAGUUUGAAAUUUGAAACUAUGGGAUGCAUUCAAGACAAUAGAAAGUCUCUUUUCUAUGGUCUUUUUUGUUGUCAUUUCUUCUGCUAAAAUCUUUCAAAUAACUGGUUUUGUCUUUGCAAAGGGUAACAUCAAGAUCACACAAAUCGGAUUUUAUCAUAUAUAAUUGAAUAUGGAGAUCUAGACACAACUUCAAUUGGAAAGAUCAUUCCCUGAUUUUAUAGCAAAGUUUUAGAGUUUUUGUAGAUCUUAGCGUAAUGGAAUUUUUUCUUAGAUAUAAUCUUGUAGUCAAUCAGUUAAUUACACGUGACAUUGAUUUUGUUCAUGUAUAUAUAUUUAGUUUAUUAAUAAAAGCUUAUUUAUCUUUAAUAUUCAUCAAAUAUUUUAUUAAUGAAUCUAGAGUAAAGAUAAAAUCCUUAAGACAAAAAUGUUUUGCAAAGAAAAUUAUAAAGUUGUUAUAAUUAUGGGAUUCUUAUUGCAUAAAAGCAUUAUUUCUAAAUAUUCAUGGUCAAUACUCUAUUAAGACUGGACAUUAAUUAGAGUUGUUAAGACUGAUAAAUAUUAUGUUCUUUUUUUAUGAAUGAAGCAUUUGUUCUCAUAAACUGAAAUAUGAGGGACACCUAAAACUAAUUUAUAGGUGUUUGUCAGAUGACAUGUACACUAAACUUACCCGCAUGAAAAUUUCAUAUGGAGAGAUCACAUAUAUCUAUGGAAAGGCUCAUGUGACGGCUAUGUAAGUAAUCCUUAGACUUAAGAUCACUAAAAUAUCUUAUAUAGAGAGUGUUAUAUUUUGAUCUUGUUACAUGUUGUCUUAAUCAAGGGUAACAAAUAGGCAGAUUUUGGGUAUAACAUGAACUAUAUGAAGGUAUUUGAGCAAUCAAGAAAGGAUUCAUCACCCUUAGCAAAUUAGAAAAAAUGUUUCAUCUGUUCUCAAAUAGUAUUAAUUGUAAAUCCUUGUGCAAUAUAGAAUGAGAUUUGAAAAGAAUUUCAAAUCUUAUUCAAAUAAUCAAUGAUUAUGAUAUUCAGAACAAACAUGAUUUGAUAUAGUAGACACACUCCAUGCUAUAAUGUCUAAAUCAAAACAUUGUUGAUGAAGGGAUAAUAAUUACACUAAGAAACUAGUUACUGAUCAAAGAUUAAGUUAAAUCACUUAUGACGUUUUUAAUAUUUAGGGAAUUAUGACAGAUUACUAGAUAUUAUACUUGAUCUUCAAAUAUAAAUCAAUCAAUUGAUGAAUUGAUAAUAAAUUAAUUUAUUUAAUCAUGUUUUAUUUGGACCAACUUAUUAGAAAACUUAAUUGGUCACACGCAUAAGAACCAUUGGUCAGAAAUUAAAAUGGGAUGAUUAAUCAAGUAUGACUUGAUUGUAAAUAAGUUUUAGAAAUUAAGGAGUAGAGUGUAAUUUAUACAGGGAAUUACAAUUCUAGACCUAGAAAAAUAAAGUAAGGAUUUGAUUGAAUAAAUUUCUAAAAUUAGCCUAAAAUAAUAUGUAUGAUAUUAUUUAAGAAAAAAAUGAUAUUUUACCAUUUAUAUGGUUUUUAGGUUUUCAUAUAAAUAAAAUGUUGUACCUUUUAUUUUCCAAAAGAGAAGUAGAUGGUGAAAAAGAUAAGUAGAGUAUAGUACUGAAAUACCUAAAAUACAAAAGAAAAGAGUUAACACUAUAAGGCAUAGCAAUAUCUCUCUUCUAAAAGGGUUUAAGAGAUUUUUUAUUGAUGAUUCAUGUGGAUUAUCGUUAGAGGCCAGACAACCGAACAGCUUGUGGUUUGCAAUAACUCGGCCUUUGAAACAAAUAUUAAAGUUGAAAACAACAUCUGAUCUUUAGGUAAUUUUUGUAUAAAACUUUAAAACAACUCUAAAUCUAUCUAACGAGAUCAUUAGGACUCCCAAAAAAUUUUAAAUUUAUCAUUUUUGUUGCGUCUAUAUGUUUCGAGAAAACUAACAAUAACACAAUCUAGUCUAAGGUUGUCAAAUCCGUUCUGAUAGGCAUUUUAUUUUCUUAAUUGAAAUAUACAUUUUAGUUCUAGAACAUUUUAGCGUUUCGUUUUGAGGUUCUAUAUUGUACGUGUGUGUAAUUUAAAAUAUUAAUUCAACAUAUAUAAUUCCAAUUCAAAUUCAAAGAUAAAUUAACUUGAAUUUACGCAAUUCAAACACAAUGUAAAGUAUUUAAACAUAAACAUUCUUAUUUAGUAACUAUACUAUAAGCGUAUUGUUAUACAAUAAAAUUAAUAAAUAGAUAGUCUAGGCUAAAAGACAAGAAAGAUAAACCUGAUGAUGGGUCAAACUUGAUAAAUAUGUAAUGAAGUUGGGGCCAAAUUAAAUAGAAUAGAAUUUGGUCAUGAGUUGAACUAAUAUUACAUAAAGGAAGAACAAAGAUUGGAUUGAAAGAAAGGAAGAUUACGAUACAUAGUAGAUAUGGUCCAAAUUUGUCAAAAGAAAAUUAACAAGGUACUUGAAGUAAUGGAGAAGAGCAGUUGAAGUCAUGCACCCUUAAAACCAUGAAGAAUGAAUAAGAUGGGUAAUUACUAGAUGGUUUUUAAUAGUUUUUCCUAUUUACAGAAGGCUGAAAAGAGAAGAAGAGGACAAUGAAAAAAAAUCAACAACAACUGCACUAUAGUUCAAUCAAGUUUAUAAGAACUUCAAAACUUGUUUAUUAGUAAGCAGUAACCAUUGGGUAAUAAUCAAUAGGUAAGUCUUGUAGGCGAUGAUCAGCAGGCUUGCAAUUUUGUAGGCUUGUAAUUUACAUUACCAAAAAACACUAAAAAUAUCAAUUCAUAUUCUUUUGUCAAGGCAUUCCACAGCGUAGUUGUAAUAAAAACAAAGAUUAUUCAAUGAAUGUAAGUUCUUUAAACUUAUAUUAUUAAAGUUCUUAUUUAAAUUUAGAGCAUUAAAAUGUUUAUGAGUAUUGAAUUAUUCUAGCAUUUCUAUAAGUCUGAACUUACACACAGUUUAGAAAAUAUUUAGGAAAUUAUAAUAUUUUUCGAGUCGCAUGUGUUAAAUGCGUCUCUCUUUAAAUUAUAAAAUGGUCUGAAAAAAAUUAAAUUGUUGAGAGAGAAGAUAAAGAAAAGAAAGAAAGAAAAAAUCUCAAAGGCACAUCGAAGCUCUGAUGACGACAUCACCAGUACCAUCAGAAAGAUCUUGACGAGAUGAAUCCAACGACAUCAAGGAAGGUCACAAACGGUGAUCAGAGCGGGCCACACAGGCUACUCAAAAGCAAGUGAGCUUCGUCACCUUUGGAUGGCUUGUGUGGCCUACUCUGAUCUCUAUUAGUGACAUUCUUUAGUUUUGUUGGAUUUAUCUAGACAAAAAAAAUUUGAAGGUACCAAUUAUGUUGUCAUCGAAGCCCCUAUGUGUUUUCGAUGUAUUUUUCUUUCUAUCUUUUCUUCUCUCCCCUCUCUCCUUAAUUUAAUUUUUAGCAUCCAUUUUAUAAUUUAGGAGAGUCGCAUAUGUCAUCUGCGACUUUUUUAAUUGUGUUAUUUUUCUAAAUAUUUUCUACACUGUUAUUUCUUCAAAAAAAAAUAUUUGCUUGUGCUAAAAUCCAAAAAAAGUUGCUAAGUUUUAACUCUUAUCAAAAGGGAAAUGAUUAAAAGAAUUUAUAAUUUAACAAGUGAGAAUGGAUUGAGAUUGUAUUUUGGAUUCAUUAUUUGAAAAAAAAAAUGAUAUUUAGAGAGUAAGUACGAGUAGUUUGAGAAGUAAUUAUUCCUACUUGAUUUCAAAAAAGAUAAAAUAUAAGGAAAUUCUUAGUGGGAUAAAAUAAAAAAAAUAUUUUUCAAUUUAGAUGAAAAUAUUAUUGAAAAAUUGAUACAAUACUAAUAUAAUUAACUACAAACUAAAAGGUAAAGGCAUCUGUCUUUUAUUGUGGAUUGCACAGUAUAAUCUAUAGUAAAAAGGUUGAUGCUUUUUAGUUAUAGGUUUUUUUUUACUUUUUUCUUUUUAAUUAAUUUUUUUGUUUGAUUUCGUUCGUUAAUAUUAUUUUUUUUUCUAUUUAGUUAUCACACUCUCAUGAUACGGAUCCCAAGUUUGACGGGUUAACCUGGUUUGGUGGGUUAACCCAGUUGAUUCAGAUUUCUUUUCUUUUCUUUUUAAUUAGUUUUUUCCUUUCAAUUGUAUCUUUUAAUAUCGAUUUGAUUGAAAAUUAAAUAUCAUGGUUUGUUUUGUUUAUUUUUUAUUAGAUUAUCGCGAUCUCAUGAGAGGAUUUUACUAUACCUCUCCUUGCAAAGAACUAUUCAUUGGAAUAGAGCUUUGCUUUGUUUUAUUAUUUGUUUUUCCCUUUUCAAUUAAUUUUUUUUAAAAUUUAUUCUUUAAUAUUAAAUUAUUUUCUAUUCAGUUAUCACAUUUUCAUAAUACGGCCUUGUAGACAGGCCCACAUCUAAGGAUUUUAGGUCUGGUGUUGCAGUCGGACCCAAGAUUCUUGGACCUGACGUUACAAUCAGACUUACUUAAACUUGGAUCAUACAAGUUUAAUAUUAUUAUUAAUAUUAAAAAUUGUAUUAUUUGUAUUAUAAAUAUUAUUAUUUUUAUAUAUCUAAAUCCAAACAAAGUCAACUUUAGAUUCAUAUAGAAAUUAGUAAAGAAAGUAACAAAGGAAUUAGAAAAAUAAGUAAAGAUAUUCUAUAAUUGAUAUGCUUUAAUGCAAAUUCUUUUGUAGUUAUAAGAAUGAUUAUUCGGGAAAAAGAGGUAGUGCUUAUGACUAUAUAAUUGAUUGAAAUAGUCUUUUGAUAAAAAAGAGAAAAAGCUAAAGGGCAAUGGCAAUGAGUAAUGAACUCCUUUCCAGAAGGAACGACGUCGGUUUACUUUUCUCUUGGAUUCCAAAGAGAGAUGAUUGGCUAAUGAUUCCUCGAUCAAUUGUUUUCAAUGUCAUGUCAUCAUGAGUUCCAAAAAGAUUAAUCAAGUUUUGUCUCUUACAAAUUAAUUACCCUAAACAUAAGUAGCCGAAAUGAGUUAUUUUUAAAAUUAACAUAUUAAAUUAUAAAAAAAAAAUUGUAGAAUAAUACUAUUAAAAAACUUUAGUGAAAUAUCACAUUUUUAUUUUAUUUCAUUUCUAAAACAUAAUAUUUGUUAAAUAUCAUUAUUUAUAAGCGUGAUAAUUAUCAACCAGUUUACCAAUUGGAUAUAGUUAUAUAAUCGGUUGACCGUUUCAUAUAAAAACUAUAAUUUUAAGAUUUUUUUUCUUUUAAAUAUAUUUUAUAAGUAAAAAUAUAUAUUUUUGUCCUACUUAUAAUCUAAUUAAAAUUUUAAAAAGUUAUUAUUCAAGCAAUAGUUCUCAUGGGUGAUUAUGAACAGUUAAAUGUAAGUAUGUCAUAAUUAGAUGAGGAUUUACCCCAAACAAAUUACGUAAAUGGUCUAGCAGAUACAUUUAUAGAUUAAUGGGAUAGGCCUAGUCUUAGCAGGUGGUUUGGUCACGUCAAAAUAACCAUAACUUUUGAUCCAAUUAUUGAAUCACACUUCAAUUUUUAUAGAAGUUUUUGAAGGUUGUUUUUCUUGAUGAUGGCUCAAUAAAAUUGUUACUCCAAUCAUCGAAUCUUUAUAUUUCAAAAAUAUCAUCUUGAAAUCUUGGUUUUAGUAGUUUUAUAAUUUUUUUUAUAAAUCGAUUAAUUGAUUAAACCUAAAUUUAAAUAGAUAUCAUGAAUAUAAAUCAUGAUAUUAAUUAAAAUUUUAUCAUGAUUCUUAAUCAUAAUAUAAAAAUAUAUUAUUUUACUGAAACUUUUUGUUUAUAUAUCAUUUUAUUAUUUAUUUGGAUAAUUGCCCAAUUUUUCCGUGAAAUGCCACUAGCCCCUGAAACAACACAGGCCCAUAAUUACUGCGAAAAAGGUGAUUAGACAACAAAAAUAAGAUAUAUGUGUAGGGGUAAAAAUGUCUUUCAGCACAAUGAAUCACGUGACUCCCGUUUGCUUAUCCUCAAUGAUUGAAUUAAUUUUGGUUACAUUUGUGAAAAUACAAAAUUAAGAUAAAAGUUCAACCAAAAAAAAAAUUAAGAUAAAAGUCUUUUGAAAUCCCUUGAUAUAAGCCGGGUUUAUACGUUAAAACUAGUAACUUACUGCUAGUAGCAAGUGCUUGAAACUAAUGAGUGCAAAAUAAAAUUAUUAGGAUUCAAAAUUAUUAUUGUUGAAUUAACUUGGUUUAUUAUUUUUAUUAAAAUAAUAUUAUUUUAUUUUUUAAAAUUAAAAAUUUAUAUGGUUAGAUUUGAAUUGAGUUUGAUUGGAUAAAUUAAAGUUCUAUUUGGCAUUGUUAUCCAACUUGUUUUUGAAAAAUAAUUAAUUUUUUUUACCUUUAAAUUAAUUUUUUUAUAUUUUUAUAUGUGCUAUGUCAAAAAUAAAUUUUAAAAAAUAAAAAAUAUAUAUUAUUUUGAUUUAUAAUUUUGAUUAUAUUUUCAAAUAGACCUUAAAUUACUAAAACUCAGCUAGAUUAACCAGUUUUAUUUAUUUAAUUUCUUUUUUUUUUUUGGUUAAACUUAAUAGGUUUUUUGAAUCAACAUGUAAAGCAGGAUUGGAUUGAACAACUAUGAUGCAAACACAAGAUUAGCAUCACAAAUGGGAAACAAAACGGGCAAAAUUCACCAACACAAUCCAUGGAGAUAGUAAACUCUUGGUAGGACCACCCAUGGGGGACCAAUGGAAAAGGAGUUGAGUCCGCCCUCACACCCUCCAAGAUAAAGGUUCAAAUGGAUAUGAUUCAGUCAUUAUCCAUCACCUCUUAGAUGCCGCCAUUAACAUGUAACCUCAAAUGAACAAGUAGAAGUAGAACGAUCUGCAUAGGCAUAGUUUCCAUAAUUAAAUCCUUCGAUAUUCUAGACUCAAGUUUAUAAUAAUUAUAAGAAAUUAAGUGAUCCAACACAUAAUAUAUUUUCCGACUAAAAUCUGAUGAAAUAAAAAAAAAUAAAAGAUAAAGACUUGUGAGGCAUGGAGUGCGUGGUAUUAAGAUUAAACUUAUUUUUUAUUAAAAUUUAAAUUAUUUUUAUUUCAAAUUAAUUUUUUUAAUAUUUUUAAAUUAACAACCUUUAACACAAUCUCAUAAACAUAAUAAUGAAAUAUGGAUUAAGAAAGAAGCAAAGCCAACAAGAAAGCUUUAAUCCUAAGCUUGGGUUCAUCUUUCCCAAGAACAUCACCAUUUUGAUGAAUAUAAUAGCAUUUUUUUUAACAUUUUGACGGAUAUAAUGCUUUUUUUUUUAAUUUAUUGUUUACCAAAUACUAAUUUUUUAUUUUAUUUUAUUUUGUACCCAGAUAUUUUUUACAGGAAUGUCAGGUUGGGGUCAGUGACUAGCGGUCACACACAUACCACCAUCUCUCUCUCUCUCUCUCUCUCUCUCUCUCUAUAUAUAUAUAUAUAUAUAUAUAUAUAUAUAUAUAUAUAUAUAUAUAUAUAUAUAUAUAUAUAUAUAUAUAAAAAAUAUGAUGCACUUCUGUCUGAGAUACCGCAUUUGCUUGCUUAUGCAUAUGCAUAGGCAACCAAGUGAGUAGCCACCCCAUUUUGUCAGACCAAAGUCAGCCAGUUACCUCUUUUUGUUUGUCUUCCUUCCCUUCUCAAGAACAUGGCUUUAUAUUCUCUUCUUCACCAUCAUUAUGGCCUUCUCACAUCUCUUCCUGUUUUCGGUUGUUAAUCUUUUCUCUUAUAUUACAAGUUUGAAGAACAAACACUAAAAAGAAAGUCUUUGUUUGAGGUGGGUUUUUAGUUUGUUUAAUUGGGUCAUGGCUGUUUGCUGUGAUCUUGAAGUAGAUGUCAAUGGUGAAGAGACUUUCAUGGUGGACAAGGUAAAAGAAAAUAUAGUCUUUUUUGGUCUUUUUUUCAUUUCUUUGUAGUUCUGCCUCUUUAGAGCUUUAAAGUUUUGAUUUUUUGUGUACUUUGGUUAAUCGUUUCCCUCUAAUUAUCCUGUUUAACUUAAUUUAGCCUUUUGUGACUUUGAUUAGUUUCUGUAUUUACUCAAUGUUGUUCACUUCGUAUAUGUGUUGAUCUACUUUCAGCUUGCUUUGUGUUUGCUUUAGUGUAUAAUUCACAAAUUCUAGAAUCUUUUUCUCGUGGCUGUUAAAUGUGGAAAUUGAGUACUUUCAAGGUUUUUGCAUGCAUUGAUUCUCUUGUGGUGAUUUUCAUUAUCAUCUGUUUUGCUAUAUUCCCUCAUGAUUUCUAUGGUUGUACUGCAACUUCUUUAAAUUUACGGCUACAUUACAGUGUUGUGGGACAUGGUUUCUCAUACUAGCUUCUUCUCUUCUAUUUUGAUUACUUGCUAAACACCAUACUGCCUAGCUUUGUCUUCUGAUUUGGUCCUUAUCAUUUAUUGCUAUUGUUAUGGUGGUUUAAUGUUUCAUUCCUUUAUUUGUUUGUAUUCACUCCUUUUGAGAAGGACUUGCAAGUGGCUUUCAUGGCAUUUAAUAUACUGUUUAAUACCCUUGUUUGCUGGGUUGCUUGGCAGACAUCUUUUCUCUUGAUUUGCCCUUGGGCAAUUUAUUGUCUAUAACGACCUCGCACCUUUCUUUUGCAGAUUUUUAGCAGUAUAUGCCACUUUAAUCUUCUUUUAUGAGUCUUGCUAAAUUCAAUGAGUUCAUUCUUUUGGUGGCUUUUUAAGGCACUGACAUGGUCUGUGAUGAAAGUAAUUGACGCUCGUCUUUAAUGCACAUUUCCUUAGUCAUGACUAGUUAGUUAUCUAAACCUGAUUGAAUCCUUGCUACCUUUUCAAUUCAUUGAAUUAAUUAGCUUUCUCAGUGGUAAAAGCAAAGUUUUAGCUCUUCUAUGUUUCAGUUCCCGGUAAAUUCUGCUACUCUAGUUAGUCCUUCUAUGUUCUAGUUUGUCAAUGUUUCUUGAAUGAAUUGGUACUAACUAGUUGUACAUUGGUUCGUGUGUAAAGAUUUGUAUUCUCACUUUGGUUCCUUACAAAUAUUCGCAGAAGAUCAUUGCUUCAUAUUGUGGCAGACUAAGCAAAUUAUCUGGUAAACCAACAGGUAGUGCAAGAAAUUUGAAAGUGAUAUUCAAUGACUUUCCUGGUGGGGCUGAAAGUUUUGAACUCAUGUCAAGGUUCUGCUACAAUAAUGGUAGAACUGCCAUAACUCCUUCCAAUAUUUCUUUCCUACAUUCGGCUGCACAGUUCAUGGAAAUGAACAAUUCUGUAUCUGGAACUCAUAACUUAUUGGAAGAGACCGGGAAAUCACUUAAAGAGAUGAAUUACUGGACAUGGUCUGAGCUUUUAAUCACUACAAAGAAAUGCCAAGAUUUACUUCCAUUUCCUAAUUCUACGGGUAUCCUUGAAAAAUGUGUGGAUUCUCUUAUUGGAAGGAUCACUACUUCUGGUGAGCCUAGUCCGUGUCCAUCUACUUCUUCUCCAGACAGCUCUGGAGUUCGGUUGUCAUGUGACACUAGAAGCACUGAGAGUUUGAAGAAUAGCUUCUCUCGAGCAACCUGGUGGUUUGAGGAUCUUUUGGUUUUGAGCACUAAUUUGGUUGGAAUGGUGUUCAAAUCCAUGGUCUCACAGAAGUUUGAUCAUGUUAUCAUUAGUAGAUUUCUCUUUUAUUACCAGAAAUCAAAGUGCUAUACUGGCACGUCUGAUGAGAAGCGUAAAGUUGUUGAAACUGUCAUAGAUAUGCUUUAUAUUCUUAAUUGGAACUCUGUUUCAUUCAAGAGUUUAUUUGGGAUUCUUCGAGUUGCUUUGAAUUGUAACAUAAGAAAAUGUAGCAGGACCAAGUUGGAGAGUAUGAUAGGUUCUCAGAUGGAUCAAGCAACUCUAGAUAAUCUGCUAAUUCCUUCUCCAUAUGGGAUGAAUUACUUGUAUAAUGUGAAUCUUGUUCUAAGGUUCCUGAAAGCUUUUCUGCAUGGAGGAAUCAGUCAGGUGUUCCCUAUACAAUUGAGAAAAGUUGCUAGCUUGAUGGACUUUUAUAUAGCAGAAGUAGCCCCAGAUCCUUGUCUAAAGCCUUCUAAGUUCUUGGCCCUAGCCAUGGCCCUGCCAGAUUGUGCCAGAGAAUCGUACGAUGGAAUCUACCGUGCCACUGACAUGUAUCUAGAGGUAGUCCUUUGAUCUCAAACAUUUCAUGUCAUUUGAAUUGCCAGUUCUUCAGCUUAUUGAAUCCUGUAUAGGUAUAUUUCUUUUGGGGAUAACAUGUGGCAUCUUUUACUAUGCUGUUGUUAAAUGUCAAUUUCACUCAUGAUCUUAUGAUAUAAAUUUCAUAUAGGUGCAUACCGGAUUAUCAAAAGAAGAAAAGAUGAAGAUAUGCUGCACAUUGAAUUACGAGAAGCUCUCAGCUGAAGCUUGCAUUCACCUUUCUCAGAACAAAAAUUUUCCAUCAAAAUGUGCAGUCCAAGCUCUCAUGUCUCAGCAAGUCAAGCUCAAAAGCUUACUCAAGGCCACUGGCAAAACAAAAUGCUAUAUUGAUUCAUCUUCUGGUGUAAGUGAAACUGGAAGCAAGGGAAAGAAAAAUGAAACUAGUAAACAAAUUGUGCUCUGUGCUGGGAAACUUGACCUUCCAACUGAUAAUGAUAAGCUUAGAGCACAUCUGCAAGGAAUGCAGUGGAGGGUGACGGAAUUGGAGAGAGUUUGCAUGAAAAUGCAAGCACCGAUGACAAAAAUCAUGAAGUCAAGGGUAUCAAACCAUAGGACUUCCAGAUCCUUACCCAGGCUAUGUUCGUGAUAGGAAUUUAUGCUCAAUAUUAAAAUAUGUAAUAUAUAUUUUCAUUUGUAUAGUAGCAUGGGGUUCUCUUUUCUUUUCUUUUCUUUUCUUUUUUGUGGUGUUUGCAGCAUUUUUCUUCUUCUUUUCUGCAAAGUUAAAGGUGACCAAGUGUAUUUUCUUCAUGUGGGGGAUUCGAGAUCUUGGCUGUACAGUUCUCCAGAAAAAAGGCAGAAAACUUUAAUGGGUUUUGUUACGAGUAGUCUCUAUAUAUUCUCUGUAUUGUUGAGUGGAAAAAAAAGUACGUAAAGGUCAAGUCCAUUUCCCAGCCACCCUCACACCGCGACAAACUAUAAAGCAAGUUGCCAAAUGUGAUCUGCAAGAGCAUGGAGGGAAAUUUUGCGGGGGGAACUCAAAAGCUAAGCUGCCUAAGCAUGUUUCAUGUUGGGCAAUUUAAGCUGGGACUAGUCACAUAUGUGCUCCUUAUGUUCUUCAAAUUCAAUGGCAAAAGAAUUUUCCUUUCUGCCUCCUUUUUGGUCCCUUCUUGAGUUUCGCAAGUUUAUGCCAAGCAUCCUGGCGUAAAGGCAAUGCUGUUGACACUGUAAAUCAGUGAAGAUGUUUCAUGUAAAUAUUGUUUAAUCUCAAAAACAUCAGCUUGUCUGGUAUGUUCAACAGUUAGUCAAACUGAUAAAAACAAAAGUUAGUGAUGGUUUAGGAAAAUAACGUCAAUUUAUUAGUUUCCUGAGUCCCAUAAGCGUGAAUUCUUUAUGAGAUGCAAGUGUCUGUUGACUCCAACUAGCAUGUAGCCAAGAAAGAGAAGAAGACAAAAAAAUAUAGCCGCAUCAUAUGGCAUCCAAAUCGAUUGGUAUCCAUUAGUUAACAAAUCAGCGAUGGGGCCAUGCGUAGGAGGUUGUUCUGAUGUUCUGAAAUCUGCUAAGCUCAUGAUGAAGCUUCGAAGAGUGCAAGCAGGCAUGUAAAAAAAGCCAGUUGACAAUAAAACACAGCCUAAUAUACUGAAAAAUUCAUCAAUGAUCUGCUUGUGAUGAAAAUUGGUGCAUACUGCAACCUUUUUUAGCAAAAAGAAAAGAUACCCUUUAAUGCUGUCACUGCUUCUACAGCAAGUAUGGCCCCAAUGAAACAGUUGAUAAGAUCAAAAUUCUUACCAGAAAAAUUGGAUACAAUAUGCUAGUCAUCUAUGUAAACCAAAAGAGUUAAAUCCAUGUGGUUGGCCUAAGGGAUUGCUUGAAUUGGGGGGUUAAGACCACUGCUUAAAUUAUUAUCCACCAAAACCAGGAGUAAAUAAUUCCAUGUUUAAUCAAUGCAAUCGGACUUUGAUUCAAGAUUUGCUUUCAGCACACUUGCCAAUGUAUUCAUAGAAUUACCUGCUUCAAAUGGUUCCAAUUAUACCUUCUUUAUCAAAGAAAUUAAAAAAAAAAAUAGCCAAUGAGCUUAUAAAUCAAUUCGCACCAAUGUCCUCAUUUACCUUGUAACGCAAGAUUAAUUGACCUAGAAAAUGUGAAAACACAAAGUCACAUUGCAUGUGUGUGUGCCGUAACAAAUGAGAAACCACUCUAUAAAAGAAUGAGGUCUUUACGUGAUCUUGGGCUUGCAGCUCUUAGGAGAAGAUGGGUGAAUAUAGUAGUAACAAGUACGAUUAAACUCUAUUUAUUUUGCUGUAUCCAAGAGAACAUUAUUGCCAGAAACAGAAGCAAAAGCCUGGAAGAAUUUCCCUUAGACGCCACUCUUCUUUGCAUUUCAAGGUGGGCACAGAGAUUCUGCUUCAAUACUCAACUGCCCGGUGCCAUUUAUGAAUCUCGUGGAGAGUAUUCCAAUUUCAAGUGCUGUUUUCAAUGCUGUUUAGAUGCUGCCACCAGCCCCUUCAAGUUAGAAUAAGAACUCCCGAGGCCGUGGUCAACCAUAUCUCUUUCUCUCUAGGUCGUAGCUGAAUAUCCAGGGAGCAAGUUGUUUUCAUGAUUAAAAUGUUUUAUUGACCCAAUCAAAGCAUGUGAUUAAACUCGAUUGACAAGACUAAUCUUGGAAAAACUCAAAAACAAAAACAAAAACUUGACCGUUGUUUGUUGAGGAGAGACAACAUCGAGUAAUAAAUUUAAUUUUUAUAAAAUUCAGCCUACAUUGAGUAAUAAAUUAUCCAGGUUUUAUAAAUAGAUUUUUGUUACAAGAGACAGAGAUGAUCAUAGCAUGGUUUGCUGGAAGUGUGGUUAAGGUUGCUUUUUAAAGUGUUUUUUGUGCUGAAAUGCAUUAAAAUAAUAUUUUUUUUAUUUUUAAAAAAUUAUUUUUAAGAUCAACACAUCAAAACGAUUUAAAAUAUAGAUUUAUUAGAAAAAAUUAUUUAUAAAAUUCAGCCUAUAUCGAGUAAUAGAUUAUCCAGGUUUUAUAAAUAGAUUUGUUAGAAGAAACAGAAAUGAUUUUAAAAUCAUAGCAUCUAAGCUAAAUUAGGCCCAUGAACUUGCAUCUUUGUCCAUGCAAAUUAAGCCCACAGAAACUAAGAAUUUCUCGAUUUUUCUCAAACAAAGGUCCACUUUCCUUAGUUCAUUAUUCAAGUAGAUUUUUAAUCCAUUAUUCGUUAAAUUUCUGAAAAAUAUUCAAUUGAUUUAUAUACUGAAUUAAAUGGUUUGAAUUUUAAAUAGUUAAUUGGUAUUUUUCGACCUACAUGUUUGUUAUUAAGUAGGAUUUAUCCUGCAUUUUGUAUUAAUGGCUUUACAACUAAAAGUAGAAACAAAAAACCAAACAAAAUGGAUAGAUUUUUAAUUGGCGUGUCCAAAAGUUGCUUGCAAUUUGAUGUUAAUUUAAUAUUCUUCUAGCCAAUUGAAUUGUUACAUGUAGUAUUAUUAUAUUCAUAUAGAUAUAUAUUUAUUAUUAAUAAAAAAUUAAUUUAUUUUUAAUAGUCAUAUAAUAUUAGAUUAAUGAAUUUAGAGUAAAGAUAAAGUUUAUGUAAUAAAAAUAUUUUGCAAAAGAAAUUAUAAAGUUUUUAUAAUUAUAAGAUUCAUAUGCAUCAAAACAUUGUUCCUACAAUGUUCAUGGCCUAUGCUCUCUCAAAUACCGGAUAUUCAUUAGAGCUGUAAGAACUAAUAUAUAUUAUAUUCUUUUUUUUUAUAAAAGAAAACGGUUGUUCUCAUAAGUUAAGGUAUAAGGGAUACCUAAAAAUAAUAUAUAGGUACUUAUUAUAAGAUAUGGACACUGAACUGACUCGCAUGAGAAUUUUAUAUAGAGAAAUCACUUAUGUCUAUGGAAAGGUUCAUGUGACGGUUGUAUAAGUAAUCCAUAGACUUGAGAUCACUAAAUCAUCCUAUAUAGAGAAUGUUAUACUUUGAUCCUGUUACAUGUUAUCUUCAUGGAGAUAAUGAAAAUGCAGAUAUUAGGUAUAACAUGAACUAUAAGAAGAUACUUGAGUGAUCAUGAGAGAAUUCAUCACCCUAAGUGAAUUAAAAAAAAUAUUUCAUAUGUUCUUAAAUAGUAUUAACUGGGAAAUCAUUGGUCAAGUGGAAUGAGAUUUGAAAAGAAUUUCAAAUAUUAUCCAAAUAAUCAAUGACUAUUAUGUAGAGAACAAACAUGAUUUAACAUGACAAAUAUACUACAUGUUUUCAUGUUAAAUCAAAACAUUAUUGAUGAAAUGAUAUUAAUUAUACUAAGGAAUUUAUCAUUGAAAGGUUAAGUUAAACCACUGAUGAUUUUUCUAAUAUUUAAGGGAUCAUGACAUGUUGUUAAAUGAUGCACCUGAUCUUCAAAUAUAAAUUAAUCAAUUUUUUACUUGAUAAUAAAUUAAAUUAUUUAGUUUAUUAUUAUAAUUUAUACUUAGGUCAACAUAUUAGGAACAGGAACCUAAUGGGUCACACACAUUAAGAACCAUUAGUCAAAAAUUAAACUGGAAUGAUUUAAUCAAGUAUGACUUGAUUAAAAUAUAUUUUAGAAAUUAAGAACUAGAAUAUAAUUAAUACAUAGAUUAUAUUUCUAGACCUAGAAAAAUCAAGUAAGAACUUGAUUGAGUUAAUUUCUAAAAUUAUCCAGAAUUAAUAUAUGGACAUUAUUCAGAGGCAAAUUGAUAUGUUGUCAAUUUAUAGGGUUUUUUAGAUUUUUCUAUAAAUAGUAAGUUGUGCCUCUUAUUUUUUUUGAGGUUAUCUGAUAGAUAGAAAAAUCACAUAAAUAUAAAAUUAGAGCUAGCACUUUAGGCAUAACAAUUUUACUCUUCUAAAUAGAGAUUUAGGAUAUUUCUCACUAAUGAUUUGUGUGGAUUUUCAUUGGAGGUCGGAUAAUUGGAUGUGAUUUGCGAUAACCCUGCAUUUAAAAAAUUAUUCAAAACCGAAGAAAAUCGAAUCUUUAGGUAAUAAAUCCCUAAAUAACUCUAGAUCUAUUUAACAGGAUCCUAGAGAUUCCCAAAUAAUUUUAUUUUAUAAUUUUCAUUGCGUAUAUAAUAUUCAAGAAACUCAAUAAUCAUAUCAAAGCUAUCGUUGUUAAACAAUUAGAGUGGCUACUACAACCACCAAUAAUGGUGUCAACGUGGCUGGCACUCUGGGAUGUGCUACAAUGAACGUACGACAAUCACAAGAUCUAAGGUUGUAAUGGACCUUCACAACCAGAAAAAUAUCAAUUUUACUGCUGAAGAUAUUCUUAUUCUCUGAUAUGGGCCUGAUGGCCUGACCCAGUAAAUGCAAAUCCCAAUCUAACUGAACCAGUGACCUAAAGAAUGCCCAGUUUUUGUGGAGUUAAGGUCUAAGUACAGCUUAUAUAAGCCCACAAUCAAUCUGCCCCACAACAAAGAUAUCCUAAGGAAAUUAAUGGCCCUCUGUCUGACAUCGUAGCCUAGCAAGAUUUAUUUUAUAUGGAAACCUACAUUUUUUUUUUAUAGUGAAACUUUUAAGAACCCUAACCCUAUUUUUCUCGGUUUCUCGUUAAGGAAAAAAUAGAUGGCCUGAGUCAACAAAAAGUAGCAUUGGUGUUUUUGUAGUUAGUUCUAAAAAACAAAAACAAUAAUAACAUGUUCACAUCUCUACAUAAUUUUGUUCAAAAUGGCGGUCCAAUUUUGGUCUAGACCUGGAAAAUAUUUGGGAUAUUGGAUUAUCAUAUUAACCUUAUUUUUAUUAAAAUAAUAUUGUUCAUUCAUUAAAAAAAAAUUAACCUAGUUAAGUUUGACUACGAUUUGGAGUUGUUAAAUACAAAAAUAAACAGGCUUAUGUCUCCCGAAGAAAAUGCUCAUGUAAUCUUCUCUAUAUCUCUUUCCUUUCCUUUUUCUUUUUUAUUUUGUUGGGAUCCUCUCACGAUGGUAGCACAUAUUACCAUAGUUUUGAAACUCGACCCGGUCUAAUGAUCGGGUCACGGGUCAGAUGGGUUGACUCGGGUUAACCUAAAAAAAUCAAAUAAAAAUUUCAAUAAAUCAACCCAAAAUAAAAUCAAAUAAAAACUUCAAUAAAUACAAUUCCCCUCUCUUAUCCCUCUCUCGUCAAUCUGUUUUCCAGCUUUCCAAUCACAAAUAAAUAUUCUCUUUUAAUCAACAACAAAUAGGUAUUCUCUUUAAAUUGAGAAUAGAAGGUAAAGAGAAAAAUAAAAUCUUAAAGAGAGAGAGAGAGAACACGUGGGCAUCGAAAUAGAAAACAACAGCAAUCGUGCAUCAAUAACAACGCUGAUAUUCACGUACGGAACUUUGAAGAGGGGCUUUUCCAAUCAUGUCUUGAUGCAGGAUUUGAUCAAAACCGGGGAUGCUGUCUUCAAUGGAAUCUACAAGAACGAGUAGGGAUCACUACGAAGGGGAUGCCGUGUUUGGGGUGGAGAUGUAUUACGGGCACAGGAGCUAUGCGAUUGAAAUUGCUUUUUCUUGUUAUCUCUGUCUACAAUUUAAUUUGCACCCCUCAUCCUUCAUCUGCGUUUUGAGUCAAAACUUUUGAUAUUUUAAAAGGCCACAACGAAUGACGUUGUUUACGGCGAUGUAUAUAUAUAAAAAAAGAGAUCGGGUCUCAAUCAGGUUUGCCCGGGUCACCCGAGUUUCGCCGGGCCAACUCCUCGGCGGGUUUUUACUUAGACCCGGACCGGUCCUAGGUCGGGUCGGCCUUUAUUUUUGUUAACAUAUAAUUAAAUAAAAAAUAAUUAAGAAAAGCUAAUAAAUUUAGUGGAGUCCAUGACCCAGGUCAAGUCGCGAAACUUAGAUCGAUCCAAUAUAUUAUUGUCUUAAUAUUAAAAAAAACAUGAUCUUAAGAAAAAAAUUAAAGUUAAUCCACGUUCGUAUCGAUCAUUCGGAUAAUCUUUGAACUCGUCAAGUCAACUAAGUUAUGUCAUAGCAAAAAAUUAAAAAAAACAAAGUUAUUAAACCCAAAAAAUCUCAUAAUUUGGAUUGUAAGUUUGGCGGGCUAAGCCGUGAAACCUAUGUUAAUUUAAUAUGUCAUUGUUUCAAUAUUAAAAAAUAAUUAUUGUCUUGAAGAAAAAAAAAUUAGAGUCAAACCAUAUUUUUACCAAUUUUUUGAGUUAUUUUUUAACCUGACAAAUCUACUAGGUUAUAUUAAAAUAAUUUCUAUAUAAUUUAAUUUGAAAUUCAAACUAAAAAAAUAUAAGAAAAUUCAAGAUCUACCAACUGCUUAGAUUUAAGAGCAAUGCCAACAAAAUUCCUCCAGCAUAGAACCUUUUUUUUUUUUUGCAUUCAAAGGUCUAAACCGGAGCUGGAAGAUAAGGCAUUUUAAUUCAAGGGAAAAAAGAAGAAGUAUUUUCAACUUUCAAGGAUCAUUGUCCCAACCUAAGAUGCCAAGAGUAGAUUCUAAGCCGGGAAUAUCCCAUUAAAAAAUCCGAAUCCUCCAAAGGGUUAAACGGUCUAAAAACUUAAAUUCCACACGUGGCAACAUACACAUUCCUCUAGACUAUAGACUAAAGAAAAGAACCCCAUUUCUUCAAGGUAUUAAAUUCUAAUCCAAUUACUAAUUUCUUAAUUUAUUAUAUUUACAUUUCAUUAGCCAGGUUAUAAAGGUAAUUUAAAUUUAAAUUUAAACUGUGAUAUAAAUAUAAUGAUAGUAUAAAAGAUGUUUUUAAUAGAUGUUGUAUCUGUCAUACAUUCUAAAAAUAGUAAUAUUUUUAUUUAAUUAUAAAUAUAUUUUGAAUUAGUUUAUAUGUUAAAUGAGAUUAAUUUGCAUCUCUUAUAUCAAUUUAGUAUAUUUAAAAGAAUAUGAUAAAAAAAAUUUAACCAAUUAUCUCAACAUUUGAAAUCAAAAAAUAAAAAAAUAGCAAAAAUUCUUAAAAUAAACUAACCAUUUAAGAUUAAAAUAAUAGCAUAUAAGAAAAGUAAAGUCUAUAAAGAAAUAUAAUGUCAAACUCACCCUUCCAAUUGGUUGACAUUUCCCCACACUUUUCCACUAAAAAACAUGUCAUGUAAUAGAAGAUUUGGGCAAUGCACAUUUUGGCUUUUUUUUUUUAGUUUUAUAGAGAAUACUUUUUAUUAAAAAAAUAUUAUAUAAUUAUUAAAGCAAGUUAAAAAAUAUUAAAAUAGUAUAUUCAUAUUUUAUAUAUAUUAAAAGCUAAAACAAUCAUAUAAACACGAUAAAGUUAUAAUCAAAAUAUUAUCUAUUUAAUUUUUUUAUAAAAAAACAUUUUGAAUUGAAUUUUCAUCAAUAACUUAUUAUAAAUAUUAUCAUUUUCAUAUCAGAUAUAUAAUAAUUAAAAAGUAAUUAUUAAAAAUCAAAUAAAAUUAUAGUAUUUUUUUAAUAAUUAUGUCAAACUAAAAACCAAGUUAAUCAACAUGGUAAAACCAUUAAAAAAUAGUGUCCAAAAAGCUAAAUGAAAAAACAAAAAAGAAAGACAAAAAAGAGCUAGGCCUAAUGUUAGGCCAGACCUAUGUGUCAGGCCUAGGCCUUUGUUUCUUUCUUCUUUUUCUUUUAUUUAAGGAAAAUGAUUGAUAUUUCAUUCCCAUUUUAUUUUUUAAAAAUAAAAUAAAAUGGAUCAUGUAUUAUUUGUUGCAGUAGACAAUAUGUCAUAGACUUGUCCAAUUUUCAGUAGCCAAAGUGGAGGGAUCUAGGAGAAUGGCAAGCUUGUGUUUUUUUAUCAAAAAAUCCAUUUCCAACUAAUUUUUUACUUGAAAGCAUCUCAAAAACAUUCAUCAAACCUUAAUAAACUCGUAUGUGUCCUCCAAGUAGCAAAAAAAUUAGUUAAAAAUCAAAUCGAGACUACAAAUCUUUCUAAACACUCUAUACUUUUUUUUUUUCCAGUAAGAUAAGAGCAAAAAACCAUCAGCAUCAAAUACUUCUUAUCGAAUGGAAUAUUUUAACACCAAACUUGAUUAUUUUAGUUGUCAUAAUUGCGACAACCAAAUAUUUUUUCUUUCUAUAGUCAUUUUUAGGUGACUCUCUCCCAUGUACAAAAACUAAAAAAUGACAAAUAAAUUUUAGAAUCAAAAUUUAAAUUGUGAAAUUUGAAAUUAGACAUAUAUUAUAUGCGUGUCUUACAUUUUAUUCCUUUGUCUUCUAAUUGUAUAGGCCUGCCAUAAUUUCAAAGUCAAUUUCAUCCAAUUACACUAGAGAGUGAUUGAAUUGAAAAAACAAAAGUCACUGUUCAUACCACCAAACACAUAUAAAAGAUCGGGUUUUGUGAUGGAUGUUCACUGUUACCUGUUCAUAUCAUCUAAAAGAUUGACAGUGAAACUCAAUCACAAAACCCAGAUCUUUUAGAUGUUUUUAGGUAAUAUCAAUAAUUCUUGCAGUAAUAUCUUUAUAUCAGCAUCCGAAUUGAGCGAUUUAAUUAAAUAUGACAGGGUUCAAUGUGUGGUAAUUUUAGCGCCAUAUUCUAGUUUUAAAGUACCGAAGAUGAUUACGUGAAAAAAUUCCUGAAGAAAGCACCUUAGAGAAAUACCUGGCAAGAUCCUGCUCUUGGCUUCGUAAAUUUUUGUGGGUAAAAAACUAGCAGGUAAGAAAUUUCUGAUCUGCCAAUAUACAGAAAUGUAAGCAAAGCACUUCAAAAAUCCGCAGAAUUUGAUAUAAUGGUAGUAACAUGUUACAAGAGAGGAGACUCUAUCAGCAGACAGUAAUAACAUGAAAAUUAGGAUGUUAUGGAGCAAUAGCAAUUUGGUGGUAGUUAACUAAUUGACUGGACAUGAAGAAUCAGGACAACAGCCUGUUUAUUUCUUCGUCAGGAAUGCCUAGUCCAUUUUCUUACAGAAGCAAACAGAGCUGAGCAGCUGAAAUGCACUCAAAAUAAGAAAACGGAUAUAUAAUAAUCUGCCUCCUACAUCGUUUUUCAAUAUAUUCUUCCUUGUAAUCUGAAUCAAAAUAUACAAUACUCUCCAUCCACAAUACAGGAGGGUACUUGCUGCUGCAAAAACUCCGCCGGACAUGGAGUUAUAGCCUAUUUACAUGGCUUAAUUUUCUAUGCAGCAUAUGUUAUUUGUACUUGCAGACUACAACAUGGAAAACCUGUUACUUAUCUCUCAAAGGGUAGAAUAGGCUCUGUGAUUACUGACAGGACACGUUUCCUAGUUAGCUCAUCUGGUGAAGUAUGCGCAUCUCCGUUAUGAUAAGUGCAAUGGGAUUGUCGUGCAAGGUUAAUAGCUGUUUCGACAAAAGGUUUUGCAAACAAAGAGCCACCAAGCUUUUCUUUGUUCAUCUUUUUCCAGGUUUCGUCGAUCAAAUUCAUUACGGAUUCAGUAGCAAGUUCCUCAGAAAUGCCUUUUGUACGCAUGUAGCAUGAUACAGAAUUCGCAGUUUCACCUCUCGCUAUCUCAGCCUGGAUAAGCAAACGGGAAUGUCAAUAUGCGGGAACGGAUAGCUACAGGCCUGUACAUUUAGGCGUAUGAAG